AAAAUUUUGACGGUAUUUAAUCUUUUAGAGGAAUAUGUAAUUUAAUCGUAAUUACACGUUAAUUUUACUUAUUUUGUUUUUGUAUACCACCGUUAAUAGAUUUUAUUAUAUAUUUUAAUAAAUUUCUAAAUAAAUUAAUUUUAUUAUAUCAGGUCAAGGUGCAAAUAAAUAAGUUAUUAUGUAUUACAUUCAAAUACAUUGUAAUGGAUAAUUAUUGAAACAUCUAUUUGAAAUUGAAUCUACAAGUAAAAUUUUAAUAAAGUAUUAUUUGAAAUAAUAUAUUAAAU
rnacentral:rRNA from 1 species